CUAUGAUUCUAUGAUUCCAUGAUUACAUGAGACUGACCCUACUGUCUGCUGGGAAGUAACAUGACACGUGCCACAGCUUAAGGAAGAACUAAACCAUAGGGUCCAUGACCUACCCUGCAUGAGGGACAUGAGGAAACUCUGUAGCCACUAACAUGGUGACAGCUGCUGAGCAGAAAUAGAGCCCCCAUGAGUCAUCACUUAUCCCAGUGCCAGUGUCACAGAUCUGCUAGUGGAAACCACAUUCUGCUCUUGGGCCUAAGGACCAGGUUCUCCUCUGAGCCAGAGAUGUUCAGAGGAACUGGAGGCUGAAACCCUGCAAAAAAGGGCAGCUACGAGCUGCUAGGAUGAUAAGAGAUUGACUUCAGAGGGAUCACGGGAACUGUUUUUGUUUUGAGUGGCUUACGGAAGGAACUGGGAAAAGGAAGAAGGCUUUCUGCUGUCCUGUUUAUCCCAGGGGAAAUGGGUUGAGCCAGUGCUGUGCAGCACUGUCCAGCCCCACCACUGUGAAACCCUGGUCCCUGCGGUCACAGAGACUAUAUUUCCCAGUGCCUCUUCAUUUCAUGGGGACACCUGAAAUAAGGGACCACUCUGAUCAUGGCUUU